AACAGGCCGUUUGUAUACUGAUAAGUUACCUCAAGCCAACCUUCCAUCGCUUUUUCAGAAGAAAAUAACCCAACCGUGAACAUGUCUUUUGGAAAACUUGCUCUAUUUCUGGCCGCUUUGUUGAUUUUCAGCAUAAGUUACGCUGACGCACAAGCAGCUGCAACAACAUCAACAACAUCAACAACAACAUCAACAACAACAACCGCUCCGGUGAUACCUUCUGUCAUCAAUCAAGCUACAAGCCUUUUCACGGCUCAAUUGAACUUAAUCUCGCAGCUACUAAAGGCAUUUACCAACCUGUUUGGUGGCUUGGGGAAGUAGUAAUGCAUAAAACAGCAGUAAACUUCAAGUCGGUCUGACUAUGAAGAACCAACUCAACGUUUGUGAUUUCUUCAAAUCUGAAAUAUCAACCCACACUUUCCUUACACAGUGAAAUUUCAAUGACUUAUUCUAAAUAUUUUUAAAAAGUACUAUUGCUCGUCUUUGUAACCCUAAAAAAAAAAAAAGAUCUCGGAAAGAUAUUAAAAUGUCGUAUAUUUUAUUCAUUUACAUUCAGUAAAG